UACGAAGGGGGCUAGCGUUGCUCGGAAUCACUGGGCGUAAAGGGUGCGUAGGCGGGGCUUUAAGUCAGGGGUGAAAUCCUGGAGCUCAACUCCAGAACUGCCUUUGAUACUGAAGAUCUUGAGUUCGGGAGAGGUGAGUGGAACUGCGAGUGUAGAGGUGAAAUUCGUAGAUAUUCGCAAGAACACCAGUUGCGAAGGCGGCUGACUGGACACAUAUUGACGCUGAGGCUCGAAAGCAUGGGGAGCAAACAGG
rnacentral:rRNA from 1 species